UACGUACGAGGCGAGCGUUAUCCGGAAUCACUGGGCGUAAAGGGUGCGUAGGCGGGGCUUUAAGUCAGGGGUGAAAUCCUGGAGCUCAACUCCAGAACUGCCUUUGAUACUGAGGAUCUUGAGUUCGGGAGAGGUGAGUGGAACUGCGAGUGUAGAGGUGAAAUUCGUAGAUAUUCGCAAGAACACCAGUGGCGAAGGCGGCUCACUGGCCCGAUACUGACGCUGAGGCACGAAAGCGUGGGGAGCAAACAGG
rnacentral:rRNA from 1 species